rnacentral:rRNA from 1 species
AACUUUCAACAACGGAUCGUCUUGGUUCUGCGGCAUCGAUGAAGAACGCAGCGAAAUGCGAUACGUAAUGUGAAUUGCAGAAUUCAGUGAAUCAUCGAAUCUUUGAACGCACAUUGCGCUCCUUAGCAUCCUAGGGAGCAUGCCUGUUCGAGCGUCAUUU